UGGGCGCGGGUUUUCCUGCCGGCCGCCGGGCGCGCCCUCCUCGGCCUGGGCGUCCCGCCGUGGGCGCCCCGAACUCGCGCGGGCCGGUGCGGGCGAGGCGCGUUCCUCGGGCCCGGACGGUGCUCGCUCGCUCUCUUCGUGGUGGCGGGAAGGCGCUCCAGCAGCCGUGCGGACCGCGAGGGACAGGGGAUGCCUCUCGGAAGGAGGCAGCUGAGGCGCCGUGAACAAGACAUUUGGAGCCUGGUGGCCUGAUGUGGGGGCAGGCGGGGCAGAUUUGCCAACAGGCACCGCACAGCCCCACGUGCUGGUCGUGGACUGCUGUGACCUCGGGACGGUGGAGAACUA